UACGUAGGGUGCAAGCGUUAAUCGGAAUUACUGGGCGUAAAGCGUGCGUAGACGGUUACAUAAGUCGGGUGUGAAAGCCCCGGGCUCAACCUGGGAAUUGCAUUCGAGACUGCGUAGCUAGGGUGCGGAAGAGGGAAGCGGAAUUUCUGGUGUAGCGGUGAAAUGCGUAGAUAUCAGAAGGAACAUCAGUGGCGAAAGCGGCUUCCUGGUCCAGCACCGACGUUCAGGCACGAAAGCGUGGGGAGCAAACAGG
rnacentral:rRNA from 1 species